UACGGAGGGUGCGAGCGUUGUCCGGAAUCAUUGGGCGUAAAGGGCGCGUAGGUGGCCCGGUCAGUUCGUGGUGAAAGCGCGGGGCUCAACCCUGCGUCGGCCAUGAAUACUGCCGCGGCUGGAGCACUGUAGAGGCAGGCGGAAUUCCGGGUGUAGCGGUGGAAUGCGUAGAGAUCCGGAAGAACACCGGUGGCGAAGGCAGCUUACUAAGGAGUAACUGACGCUGAGGCACGAAAGUGUGGGGAUCAAACAGG
rnacentral:rRNA from 1 species